UCAUUUUAACACCACGUCUAUUACCGAGCAGCAGACACAAACGAGAAGACUAUGUGGCCUUCACCCCUACACGAGCUACACUGUCACUGUCAGCACACUUCCAAUAGGGAACCAAUCCGGUUACAAUAGUGAUCCGAAAUCGGUUGUCGCGUUUACGUAUACUGAUAAACCAGCUUCGAGUCCAAAAGUUAUACAAGGGGGUUACCACUGGCAUCCCAGGGAAUGCGAAGGAAACAACAAGGAGAGGCGUGUGUGCAUAUUUUGGAAGCCUCUUGUAGAAGUAGAAAAGAACGGGAAAAUAGAAAGUCUACCAUUCAAAACAAACGCUGUCAAUGGUAGCAGACGACAAUAUCAAUCUAAAUUUGACCAUGAUCAAACGUACGGUUGCCUUGACAACGCGCCCUGCAAUGACAGCUUUAACUUUACCAUUUCUGCAAGAAAUGUAAACGGAACUUCUGAACGCUGGUCAAGUUUAUCGAUACCGUCUUCUUCCU